rnacentral:tRNA from 1 species
GGGCGAGUGGCGGAAUUGGUAGACGCGAUAGGUUUAGGACCUAUUGAGCUUACGCUCGUGGGAGUUCGAGUCUCCCCUCGCCCACAA